rnacentral:rRNA from 1 species
CCUACGGGGGGCAGCAGUGAGGAAUAUUGGUCAAUGGACGAGAGUCUGAACCAGCCAAGUAGCGUGAAGGAUGAAUGCUCUAUGGGUUGUAAACUUCUUUUAUAUGGGAAUAAAAGUUUCCACGUGUGGGAUUUUGUAUGUACCAUAUGAAUAAGCAUCGGCUAACUCCGUGCCAGCAGCCGCGGUAAUACGGAGGAUCCGAGCGUUAUCCGGAUUUAUUGGGUUUAAAGGGAGCGUAGGUGGAUUGUUAAGUCAGUUGUGAAAGUUUGCGGCUCAACCGUAAAAUUGCAGUUGAAACUGGCAGUCUUGAGUACAGUAGAGGUGGGCGGAAGUCGUGGUGUAGCGGUGAAAUGCUUAGAUAUCACGAAGAACUCCGAUUGCGAAGGCAGCUCACUGGACUGCAACUGACACUGAGGCUCGAAAGUGUGGGGAUCAAACAGGAUUAGAUACCCUAGUAGUC